UACAGAGGGUGCAAGCGUUAAUCGGAAUUACUGGGCGUAAAGCGUGCGCAGGCGAUCCGCUAAGACAGAUGUGAAAUCCCCGGGCUUAACCUGGGAACUGCAUUUGUGACUGGCGGGCUAGAGUAUGGCAGAGGGGGGUAGAAUUCCACGUGUAGCAGUGAAAUGCGUAGAGAUGUGGAGGAAUACCGAUGGCGAAGGCAGCCCCCUGGGCCAAUACUGACGCUCAUGCACGAAAGCGUGGGGAGCAAACAGG
rnacentral:rRNA from 1 species